AGGGCAAGUAGUGGAUAAUAACAAUCUGAGUAGUGUACUCAGGAGGGUAAGUAGUGGAUACUAACCAUCUGACUAGUGUACUCAGGAGGGUAAGUAGUGAAUACUAACCAUUGGACUAGUGUACUCAGGAGGGUAGGUAGUGAAUACUAACCAUCUGACUAGUGUACUCAGGAGGGUAGGUAGUGAAUACUAACCAUCUGACUAGUGUACUCAGGAGGGUAGGUAGUGAAUACUAACCAUCUGACUAGUGUACUCAGGAGGGUAGGUAGUGAAUACUAACCAUCUGACUAGUGUACUCAGGAGGGUAGGUAGUGAAUACUAACCAUCUGACUAGUGUACUCAGGAGGGUAGGUAGUGAAUACUAACCAUUGGACUAGUGUACUCAGGAGGGUAGGUAGUGGAUACUAACCAUCUGACUAGUGUACUCAGGAGGGUAGGUAGUGAAUACUAACUCAUCUGACUAGUGUACUCAGGAGGGUAGGUAGUGAAUACUAACCAUCUGACUAGUGUACUCAGGAGGGUAGGUAGUGAAUACUAACCAUCUGACUAGUGUACUCAGGAGGGUAGGUAGUGGAUACUAA